rnacentral:lncRNA from 1 species
UGGGCGCUUGGAUCGACGGUUUGAAGGCUGCUUAUUGGAUGAAUAAAGAUAAGAAGCCAUUUUCUAUGGAUCCACUGAUCAUCAUCUUCUCAAACCAGAAGGCUCGUUCCUACAAGCACAUCUGAGUCCUGCAGCAGGUAUUGUGUUUAAUUUCUAUUCUCUUCUGUUUGUUUCACAUAGAUAAGAAGCCAUUUUCUAUGGAUCCACUGAUCAUCAUCUUCUCAAACCAGAAGGCUCGUUCCUACAAGCACAUCUGAGUCCUGCAAGCAGGUAAUUUGUGUUUAAUUUUCAUUUUUAUCCUUGCUUUUUCAUUCUGAAUUGGAGUCCAAACUUGUUCAGGCAGCAUUUGCUGUUAAUCACACCACAACCUUCUUGCUUUAAUCUGCCAUUGUGAUUUACAAAAGGAGGGGUGAGAAGAGACCAGAGGAUCUGCUGUUAUGCAGAAUGAAGCACAGGCUUUUAUCCUUUCAAACGCCGGCAACAAUUGUAAGACAGUCUGACCUCUUUUCUGAUGCUGAUUAGCGUGGUAUUUGAGCUGACAUUAAACAUGGUGCAGUAAUUAUGCUAAAAGGUAACAGAGAGGUAAAUGCAGGGAAAAGAGGCUCUUCGUUCUGAUACACUUUAU